CACGAACGCUGGCGGCGUGCCUACUACAUGCACGUCGACCGGAAGUUGGAGAGCUUGCUAGUCCACUAUAGCAGCGUACGUGUGAGUAACUCUUGAGCAACCUUCCCUUCAGACCGGGAUAACUCCGGGCAACCGGUGCUAUUACCCAAAAGGUUUCGCCACCUCCUAGGGGCGUACGGUAGGACGCUGUGGUCUGUCACUCCCUGAAGGGCCAGCGGCGCAUUAGCUAGUUGGUGGGGUAACGGCCCACCAAGCCGACGAUGCGUAGCCGACCUGAGAGGGUGAUCGGCCACACUGGAACUGAGACACGGCCCAGACUACUACGGGAGGCAGCAGUAGGGAAUCUUCCGCAAUGGACGAAAGUCUGACGGAGCAACGCCGCGUGAGUGACGAAGGUUUUCGGAUCGUAAAACUCUGUUGUGAGGGAAGAACAAGUACCACUUAACUACUGGUACCUUGACGGUACCUCACCAGAAAGCCACGGCUAACUACGUGCCAGCCGCCGCAGUAAAAC
rnacentral:rRNA from 1 species